AGGUGGUGCAUGGUUGUCGUCAGCUCGUGUCGUGAGAUGUUGGGUUAAGUCCCGCAACGAGCGCAACCCCUACCGUGUGUUACCAUCAUUAAGUUGGGACUCGCACGGAACUGCCGGUGAUAAACCGGAGGAAGGUGGGAUGACGUCAAAUCCUCAUGGCCUUUAUGUCCGGGGCUACACACGUGCUACAAUGGUCGGUACAGAAGGAAGCGAAGUCGUGAGAUGGAGCAGAUCCGAGAAAGCCGAUCUCAGUUCGGAUUGGAGUCUGCAACUCGACUCCAUGAAGCCGGAAUCGCUAGUAAUCGCGGAUCAGCAUGCCCGCGGUCGAAUACGUUCCGGCCUU
rnacentral:rRNA from 1 species